rnacentral:tmRNA from 1 species
GGGGAUGUAAGGGAUUCGACUGGGAAGGACGAGACCCCACUGCGAGCCGCGGAGCCUCAGGCCGCGUAAACAAGAGGCACACAAAUAACUGCCAACAAGCAGACUCCCGCUCUAGCUCUCGCUGCGUAAGCGAAGCUAACGGAAAACUAGGCCCUAUACCGGCCUACGCUCACUAGGGCCCUUCAGAAGGGGAUUCUAGGAGUGUCAAAGGACUUCUGAUGCGGCGGUGAAGGGCACCGCUUCACCGCCAAAGACUAAAUCGGUGCGCCGUCUGGCCCGGAGCCUGUCUGUAGGCGCCUGCCCGACGUAGAAAAUACAGACUAGGCUACGUAGAUGUGGGCAAUUGAAUUUCUUAGGACGCGAGUUCGACUCUCGCCAUCUCCAUAA